GCUGCUUGAAAUCAAUUUUAAGCUGAAAUGAAUGAAAUAAGCUGCUCCUCUGCAUGGAUCUGGUGGGUUUACUGGUCUCAUUGUAAGGUACAACUUCCCUGUCUAUUUUUUUUUUUUUCCUGAGGGGAAGGAAGGAAGGGUGGGAGGCAAAAUCUGGCAAGAAAACUGCUGCUGUCAGCCUGAGUGGGGGAUGCUGUUGUCUUUACCACAGAGGGGGGAUCCGAAAAGCAGAAAUGAUAUUACCACUGGGCCAGCCAUCAAGCAAGGACGAUGCUCCCAGCACCAAGGGUACCAUUGUCACGUCAAGCGGCUGGCUGCCAGCUGGAUUCUGUUCUCAGCACUCUGCUCCUCAACUCUUUCCAACAGGGGACAUCUUGCUGGCUCUGGUUUUGCAGGUUUCUACCAUCAUGACUCUGAAGAUCUUUCUUCCAGCCCAGAACUUCAAGGAUGUAAAAUGAAUGUGACCCUGUCCAAGGCUAUUGUCCCAGGAAGUGGUGAAAUGAUGAGGAUGUCCCAGGUCAGCUGCAGUACAGCACCACAGAGAUAAGGAGUGGUGAUCAAUAGGGUUGGUUUCCUCCUUGCUGGAGGAGGCAGGGAGGUUUGGAGCUGGCUGCCAUGAGUUGUUCGGCUAUUUUGAGUCUUACCCAGGGCUUGCAGCACUGGAGCUGAAUUUUCUCUCCUUGUUGUUGUCGUGAGGUUGAAUUUGAGAGCAAAACAUGUCACAGAAGGAGGCACCUCCCACUCUGGCAGGUCCCAGCACAAUCCAAAUCCCCCACCUUGACGUCUGCUCAUGUCACCAGGAGCUGGAGGCAGCUCCAUCACCAAUCCACCACAACUUCAUUUGAAAUAACAUUAUUUUUCCCCUUGAAAUAUCUCUACUUCUCCAGGGAGGACCUGAAUUUGUUAGAGAAGAGGCAAAAAAAACAAAUCCUGAUCCAGAAUAGAUAAGGACAAAGGUUUCCCUGCACAUCCAAAGCACUCUGAGUUGAGCCCUAGGACAUCCAUAUGAUCUACAAGGCUCAGGCCAAGGUGAGGAUAAUCCAUUACAAAAUCCCAGCAGAAGCUAAUGCUAAACAGUCCCUGUGGCACCCAACCCUGUCAAGGCUUUGCCAAAUGCUGGAGGAACUGACCACCCCAUCCUUUCACACCAGGGCUGAGAUGAGGAGUAAUUCAUGAAGCUUCUCUGUUCUCCCUCCAUAUAAUUUUUUAGUGCUUGCCACACUUGUUUGCUUUCUCCAGUAGUCAGAUGAUGACACAAACCACUAAAUAACAUCCUUAAAAAUGUGCUUGUUUCUCUUUAACUCUCUUUAAACUACACAGAAGAGUUUAAUUAUGACUUAGCUCUAGCAGUUGCUGCUACUGGCUGUGUAUCUUAUAGUAAAUAUGUCAGUGCUUGGUGAGGAACUGAGUGCAUACCCGGCCAGUGGAUGCACGAUCUCUGCUCUGUACCCUCUCCUGCUCUGCACCUCCGAUAUCACAGAGAGAUGUGCAUUAAGAACAUUGAGAUUGCUUAGCACCAUUUAUUCUGCAUAAUUUUUCCCACCAGC
ensembl:lncRNA